CCCUUAGAUGUUCUGGGCCGCACGCGCGCUACACUGAUGCAUUCAACAAGCCUAGCCUUGACCGAGAGGUCCGGGUAAUCUUUGAAACUGCAUCGUGAUGGGGCUAGAUUAUUGCAAUUAUUAAUCUUCAACGAGGAGUGCCUAGUAAGCGUGAUUCAUCAAAUCGCGUUGAUUACGUCCCUGCCCUUUGUACACACCGCCCGUCGCUCCUACCGAUUGAAUGUGUUGGUGAGGAGCUCGGAUUGGCAGCAGUUGGUGGUUCGCCACCGGCUAUUGCUGAGAAGUCCUCCAAACCGCCCCAUUUAGAGGAAGGAGAAGUCGUANCA
rnacentral:rRNA from 1 species